rnacentral:misc_RNA from 1 species
GAAACAGUACAGGACUGUAGCUCACAUUCAUUAAAUCACCCUAUAACAUCCAGAUGCAGGGUGGGUUUUUAACAACAUUCACUGGGCAUGGAAUGCCCAUCUAAGGCUGUUUUUGCUAACAUCAAUAGGGCAAUUUGCUCUUGCAGUUUGCACUCACUUCUUGCAAAUCCUCUCUUCUCUUUUGGAAAGGGAAGAUAUUCUUUGGUCAUCACUAAUUUAGUUGCAUUUGAUUCUUGAUCAGUUUUAAUUGUAAAGAAUUCAUUGUGGCUAAACCAUUGGGGGUUCUAGCUCAAUUUUGACAGAAGAGCUGUUGUUUUUUUUCAAACCUAGAGCUCAUGCAUGCUUUUGUGAAAUUCCCACUUGGAGUAAGUGUUGGUGUGUUUCUUUUUCUUUACUUGUUAUAUACUAGUUAAAGCUGAGAUAACCUGAGGAGAUAUUUUGGUCUGAUCCUUUGGCUUGUCCAUCUAACCCACAGCCGUUCGUGGUUAUGGCUAAAGUUGAUUUUUCACUUCUGGUAUGCUACUGCUGCCUUCUCCAUCUCGUCAAGUCUCUCUCU